rnacentral:rRNA from 1 species
AGUGAACGCUGGCGGCGUGCUUAACACAUGCAAGUCGAACGAGAACGGGCUAUAGCUUGCUAUAGUUGUCAGCUAAGUGGCGCACGGGUGAGUAAUGUAUAGGUAAUAUGCCUCUUACUAAGGGAUAACAAAUGGAAACGUUUGCUAAUACCCUAUACUCCUUAUUAACAGAAGUUAAUAAGGGAAAGAUUUACUGGUAAGAGAUUAGCCUGUAUUGUAUCAGUUAGUUGGUGGGGUAAUGGCUUACCAAGACUAUGACACAUAACUGGUUUGAGAGGAUGAUCAGUCACACUGGAACUGAGACACGGUCCAGACUCCUACGGGAGGCAGCAGUGGGGAAUAUUGCACAAUGGACGAAAGUCUGAUGCAGCAACGCCGCGUGGAGGAUGACACAUUUCGGUGCGUAAACUCCUUUUAUAUGAGAAGAUAAUGACGGUAUUAUAUGAAUAAGCACCGGCUAACUCCGUGCCAGCCGCCGCAGUAA